rnacentral:rRNA from 1 species
GAUGAACGCUGGCGGCGUGCCUAAUACAUGCAAGUCGAGCGAAUGGAUUAAGAGCUUGCUCUUAUGAAGUUAGCGGCGGACGGGUGAGUAACACGUGGGUAACCUGCCCAUAAGACUGGGAUAACUCCGGGAAACCGGGGCUAAUACCGGAUAACAUUUUGAACCGCAUGGUUCGAAAUUGAAAGGCGGCUUCGGCUGUCACUUAUGGAUGGACCCGCGUCGCAUUAGCUAGCUGGUGAGGUAACGGCUCACCAAGGCAACGAUGCGUAGCCGACCUGAGAGGGUGAGCGGACACACUGGGACUGGGACACGGCCCAGACUCCCACGGGAGGCAGCAGUAGGGAAUCUUCCGCAAUGGACGAAAGUCUGACGGAGCCACGCCGCGUGAGUGAUGAAGGCUUUCGGGUCGUAAAACUCUGUUGUUAGGGAAGAACAAGUGCUAGUUGAAUAAGCUGGCACCUUGACGGUACCUAACCAGAAAGCCACGGCUAACUACGUGCCAGCCGCCGCGGUAA